AUUGAACGCUAGCGGGAUGCUUUACACAUGCAAGUCGAACGAGUGGCGGACGGGUGAGUAAUAUAUCGGAACGCGCCCAGUAGGGGGGGAUAACUAGUCGAAAGCGUGGGUAAUAACGCAUACUCUAGGAGCGGCCGAUAUCGGAUGGGCGAGUUGGCGGGGUAAAGGCUCACCAAGGCAACGAUCCGUAGCUGGUUUGAGAGGACGACCAGCCACACUGGGACUAGGACACGGCCCAGACUCCUCCGGGAGGCAGCAGUGGGGAAUUUUGGACAAUGGGGGAAACCCUGCUCCAGCCAUCCCGCGUGUAUGAGAAGGCCUUCGGGUUGAAAAGUACUUUUGGCAGAGAAGCGGUAUCUGCAGAAUAAGCACCGGCUAACUACGUGCCAGCAGCCGCGGUAAUUC
rnacentral:rRNA from 1 species